rnacentral:lncRNA from 1 species
GUUUAGGAGCCUUUUGGUCCGCUCGCCGUGCGGUAGCAGAGAGAACAGUCUAUGACUAGGGUUUCCUUGUAAGCAGGAAUUCUCUGAAGGCAGCCCGCCCUUUGGACACUUUCUCUCCGCCUUCUUUCAUGCAAUCACGGGGAUCUGGGCCUGUUCCCGAGAAAGCAGUAUAUUGUUCGCGUCAGGCUCGUCAGACUCGUUAAAGGAAAAAAAGGAUUCUGCCAGUCCGUGAGGCCGGGCCAGACUUCCAAAUCUCUGCCAGAUGUUAGUUGUUGCUAGGCAGCAGAGUCGUCCAAAGUGAUUGGAUCAAGCUGAAGGGGAAGGCGGGUGACUCAACAAGCCACCUCUUCAACUGCUUCCUGCAGGGGAAAGCCUGGACAGGAUGUGCCUGAGAUCUACCACCUGCUUUUUUCCAACCCUGCACUUACUCAAAAUGAUGAAACAAAUCAAUGAAUCAUCAAUCCCUUGAUUAGAUGAAACAGGUGUGUUAGUACUGGGUUGGAACAACAAAGGGACAAGAUUGGAGAAGACUGUCUUGGAAGGAUGCAGGGACACAGGAUCUACAAAAAACACAGUGGAGGCAAAGCUGGUUGUAAUGAUGUCAAUUCAAACAGUUUUGUCCUUUGUGUCAACAAUUGUUUUGACUAGGGCAGGGACAGUCCAUCAGGGAAUAGCGUAAAAGGCAAAUAUUUUAAAUUUUCUAUCAGGAGUCAAAGUUAAUCAUUUUUAUUUUUCUCUUAAUGGGAAAUCCUUUAUUUUAGACCCCGUUGACAGCAGUUUGACACUUGUAAGAGAAUGGUAAAAUAAUGUGCGAUCCGCUCGCUGCACCAUAUGACUUUGGAAUGCAUUCUGUGUUUCACUGAUGUUUAAAUCUUUCACGCCCUUCUUCUCCCUAUCAUGUGAAUUGAAUCUUAUUGAAGAGAUCAGGUACAUUUAAUGUAUCCAUGAUGCAUAGGGACCGAAGGGAAAGGAACACAGCCACUACCGAAACACAGCCACUACCUUGUUCUCUGAACACGGUGUAUGAACUGAGCAAACUGAAGUGAAGAGGAAACUCAGCAACUCUUGGCAGUGGAAUUUAAC